rnacentral:rRNA from 1 species
CACGUAGGGCGCAAGCGUUGUCCGGAAUUAUUGGGCGUAAAGAGCUCGUAGGCGGUCUGUUGCGUCCGCUGUGAAAACCCGGGGCUUAACCCCUGGCUUGCAGUGGAUACGGACAGACUAGAGGUAGGUAGGGGAGAAUGGAAUUCCCGGUGUAGUGGUGAAAUGCGUAGAUAUCGGGAGGAACACCAGUGGCGAAGGCGACUUCCUGGCCUGUUCUUGACGCUGAGGCGCGAAAGCUAGGGUAGCAAACGGG